GGAUUGAUGCUCAAGUGGUUAAUGAGGACGGACUGAAAUUCAUUGGUGAUAUAUCCAUCUUGGUUCAAAUCCAACUGAGCCCA
rnacentral:tRNA from 1 species